rnacentral:rRNA from 1 species
GACGUAGGGGGCCAGCGUUGUUCGGAAUUACUGGGUGUAAAGGGUUCGUAGGCGGUGCGGCAAGUUGGGGGUGAAAUCUCUGGGCUUAACCCAGAGGCUGCUUCCAAAACUGCUGUGCUUGAGUGUGGGAGAGGCGCGUGGAAUUGCAGGUGUAGCGGUGAAAUGCGUAGAUAUCUGCAGGAACACCCGUGGCGAAAGCGGCGCGCUGGACCACUACUGACGCUGAGGAACGAAAGCUAGAGGAGCAAACAGG